rnacentral:rRNA from 1 species
UACGUAGGGGGCAAGCGUUGUCCGGAUUUAUUGGGCGUAAAGAGCGUGUAGGCGGCCAUGCAGGUCAGCUGUGAAAACUCGAGGCUCAACCUCGAGACGUCGGUUGAAACCGUAUGGCUAGAGUCCGGAAGAGGAGAGUGGAAUUCCCGGUGUAGCGGUGAAAUGCGCAGAUAUCGGGAAGAACACCUAUGGCGAAGGCAGCUCUCUGGGACGGUACUGACGCUGAGAGACGAAAGCUAGGGGGAGCGAAAUGGG